rnacentral:rRNA from 1 species
AUUGAACGCUGGCGGCAGGCCUAACACAUGCAAGUCGAGCGGGCGGCGGAGGGGUGAGUAAUGUAUGGGGACUGCCCGAUAGAGGGGGAUAACUACUGGAAACGGUGGCUAAUACCGCAUACUAUCGGAUAACCCAUAUGGGUUUAGCUAGUAGGUGGGGUAAAGGCUCACCUAGGCGACGAUGUCUAGCUGGUCUGAGAGGAUGAUCAGCCACUCUGUAGUUGAGACACGGCGCGGGCUCGUGCGGAGGCAGCAGUGGGGAAUAUGGCACAAUGGGCGCAAGCCUGAUGCAGCCAUGCCGCGUGUAUGAAGAAGGCAUUAGGGUUGUAAAGUACUUUCAGCGGGGAGGCGUUGCCCUUGGUAGAAGCACCGGCGAACUGCGUGCCAGCAGCCGCGGUAAUAC